GUCUAUGGCCAUACCAUCCUGAACGCACUCCAUCUUGUCUGAUCUCAGAAGCUAAGCAGGGUUGGGCCUGGUUACGACUUGGAUGGGAGAACGUCUCUGUAAAGUAUAGC
rfam:TPA: Bos taurus chromosome 5, whole genome shotgun sequence.